rnacentral:lncRNA from 1 species
GUUCACAACCUACAUCAGGGAUGUAAUAAUCCACCACGGCUUCCACAUCCAUCUACUAUCUCCAGAUUGAUUCCACAAGCCCUAUUUCCAGCUCUCUCAAAGCAAACCCUGCAUCAAGCAGUUUCUGCUCAGCACAGAUGAUCAAUUGUGAGAGAGUGUGAGUCUUCCUUAUCACAUUAACUUUCUCCUCUAUUUUUUGUUUUCUUGGUCAUAUGGUUAGGUUAGUGAUCUAUGCUGCGCGUGAUUUUACAAAUUUGCAGCAAGAAUUGCUCAUUUAAGAUAACAAUGUUCUCGUAUAUUUCAUUGAACUGAAGAGCUUAAAGAUCAUGCAAAUUAUGAAUUCGUACAACAGGAAUUAGAAAAUUUACACUGUUAGUGUGCUUACUGUUGUUCUGUUUGUUGAAGGAUGCCGAUGCAUGCAACUGAUACACUACCUCUUCAAGCAUUUAUGAAGCCGAUGAUUCCAAAUCAUGCAUCAGU